rnacentral:tRNA from 2 species
GCCCAGGUGGUGGAAUUGGUAGACACGCUACUUUGAGGGGGUAGUGUCCGUUCGGGCGUGCAAGUUCGAGUCUUGUCCUGGGCACCA